rnacentral:rRNA from 1 species
UAAAUAAUAUCUCUAUUUAGGGGGAAAAAUGAAAGAAUUUAGACUACAACCUAAAAUAUUAUUUGGAGAAGAUUCCUUAGACUAUUUGAAAACAUUAGAAUACAAGAAGGUUAUGAUAGUAACUGAUGAGGUUAUGACACAGUUAAAAUUAACAGAUUUUGUUACAAAUAAUUUAUUUUCAACAACUAAAAUAAAAAUUUUUGAUAAAGUUGAGCCUAAUCCAAGUAUGACAACAAUAGAAAAUGGUUUAAAAGAUUUCAUUGAUUUUGAGCCACAAUGUAUUAUUGCAUUAGGUGGAGGUUCUCCAAUAGAUGCUUGUAAAGCAAUAUUGUAUUUUGCUUAUGAGUUAUAUAAAAAAUUAAAGGUAAAUAAAAAGAUAUACUUUAUUGCAAUACCUACAACAAGUGGAACUGGUUCAGAGGUAACUUCAUAUAGUGUUGUAACUAAGGAUGAACAUAAAAUAGCCUUAGCAAAUGAUUUGAUGUUACCAGAUGUAGCAUUGUUGAGCACAAAAUUUUUGGGAGCUUUACCAGCAAAAGUUGUUGCAGAUACAGGAAUGGAUGUUUUAACUCAUGCACUUGAAGCCUAUGUUUCAACAAAUGCUAAUCCAUUUUCAAGUUCACUUGCAAUAAAAGCAAUUAAAUUAAUUUUUGAGAAUUUAGUAACACAUUAUAAUGAUAGAAAAAUUGAAGGUCCAAAAGGAAAUGUCCAAUUUGCUUCUUGCAUGGCAGGAAUAGCUUUUGAUAAUUCUUCCCUUGGAAUCAAUCAUAGUAUUGCACAUACUGUUGGAGCAAAGUUUCGUAUAGCACAUGGAAGAGCUAAUGCUAUCAUUAUGCCUUAUGUGAUUGAAGUUAAUACUGAGGCAAAUAAAAAAUAUUAUGAAGUUUCAAAAGAAUUAGGAUUGCCAGCUGAUACUAUUGAAGAAGGUAAAUCUUCACUUUUAAGUUUUGUAAGAAUAUUAAAAGAAAAGUUAGGUAUUGAAAAAUGCUUAAAAGAUUAUGGAGUAGAUUUUGAAACUUUCAAAAGAGAAAUCCCAAGUAUGUUAUCAGAUAUAAAGAAAGAUAUAUGUACUAUAUACAAUCCAAAUAGAUUAACUGAUGAGGAAUAUAUAAGAAUACUUCUAAAAGUUUAUUUUGGUGAAUAAAAUAAGAAAACUAUUAAAAAUAAAAUUUCAGCAGUUUUUACUUUUGUGACUAUAUCACUGAAAAAUAAAAAUAUAUAUUUUAUAAUCUAUAUAUAAAUAGUAAUAUAUAUUAAAAUAAAAUUAUAGGAGGAGUAUAAGAUGGCAAUUAUAAAAGGAACAAAAGAAAAUUUUGAAGCAGAAGUAUUAAAUGCAAAUGGAGUUGUAGUAGUUGAUUUUGGAGCAAACUGGUGUGGACCUUGUAAAAGUUUAGUACCUAUAUUAGAUGAAGUUGUUGAAGAAGAUCCAAGUAAAAAAAUAGUAAAAGUAGAUAUAGAUGAACAAGAAGAAUUAGCAGCAAAAUAUAAAAUUAUGAGUGUACCUACUUUAUUAGUUUUUAGGAAUGGAGAAAUUAUUGAUAAAUCAAUAGGUUUAAUUCAAAAACAUGAAGUAAAGGCUUUAUUCGCAAAAUAAUAAGUUGAUUAGAUAGAAAAAUCUGGCUAUUAAAGUCAGAUUUUUUUAUUGAAAAUAAAAGUAAAAGUUAAAAGCUAGAAAAAAUAAUAAAAAAUUUAAAAAAAAUUGAAAAAUAUUGUUGACAAAAUCUAGGAAUAAUGUUAAUAUAAUUGAUGUCAAUGCGACAAGGACAUUAGCAACAGAAUAGAGAAAAGACAAAAAGCAACCAUAAAAUUGGUGUUAAAUUAAAGAUAGCAAAAUGGGCUAUAAGAAAAGAUUGAACGAAGAGUUUGAUCCUGGCUCAGGAUGAACGCUGACAGAAUGCUUAACACAUGCAAGUCAACUUGAAUUUGGGUUUUUAACUUAGG